CCAUUAUGUUGGAGUUUUGUAAGUGAGCCCAGGAUAUGGGAAAGAAGACGUAAGACAAGAAUGAAGCAGUAAGACAAACCCUGGAAGAAAGUUCCACUGUAGGUUUCUCUUUUCAACCUCAAGUUCAAGAUAUUUGCAUAACACUGACUCAGAAAUUUGGAAGGACAACAACAUAUAGAUUAUCCAUGACUGAAAACCUGCCUAACAACUCCAUGAAUAAUAAGUAUUAGUCUAUGAAUAAUGGCUAAAUUCCAGAUUGUUGCACCAAGUCAAGAGGCCCUGUUAAAUACCACUUCUACUGAUAAGCUCUUCCUAAUUGGAGCUCACUGGCCUUUGUAGCACUGCAACACUAGGGAGCACACUUUCAUCAGGAAUUAUACCGCCUUCAGGAUCUACAGAGAAUUGGAGUUAGAAGUCAGUUCAGCAAAUCUGCAAUUUGGCAGCAAGCCAGCCCCUGCCCUGCUAUACAGAGUGACAAGGCAUGCGAAUAUGACAGAGCUAAUGGUAAACAAUGACAGAUCUGUUCAGAGUCUGAUGGGAUGCAUCUCUCGUUUGUUCAUGUGCAGCGUAGGAAUCAGAUUUAUUUUGUUUGAGAUGUGCUUAGAUGCCUAUAUGAACUCUUCACCCUGCCUUCUACAAAUCAGAUUUUGCAGAGCAAUAAAGUGAUUUUCAUUGUAGUCGUCUUUUUAUUUUGUUUUUUUUUUUGAUGAAUGUGAGAGACUUACAGUAAACUGAAAACUAAGAGUAGCAACAUGUGGAAAAGGGAGAAAACUUAAAUUUUAUUUCUUUUAAAAAUAUCCUUCUUCUGGUUAACCAGACAAUACAAUUAACUGUGUAAUUAUUGCUAUUACUGAUCAGAUGAGAAAGUGUUUCUCUACAGAAAUGAAGUUGCAUGGGACAGA